GGGGUGGAGCAGCCUGGUAGCUCGUCGGGCUCAUAACCCGAAGGUCGUCGGUUCAAAUCCACUCGAACUCG
rnacentral:tRNA from 1 species